ACGAUGAACCCGAAGCUUGCUUUGGGGGAUUAGUGGCGAACGGGUGAGUAACACGUGAGCAACCUGCCCCUCACUCUGGGAUAAGCGCUGGAAACGGCGUCUAAUACUGGAUACGACACGCGACCGCAUGGUCAGUGUCUGGAAAGAUUUUUUGGUGGGGGAUGGGCUCGCGGCCUAUCAGCUUGUUGGUGAGGUAAUGGCUCACCAAGGCGUCCACGGGUAGCCGGCCUGAAAGGGUGACCGGCCACACUGGGACUGAGACACGGCCCAAACUCCUACGGGAGGCAGCAGUGGGGAAUAUUGCACAAUGGGCGGAACCCUGAUGCAGCAACCCCUCGUGAGGGAUGACGGCCUUCGGGUUGUAAACCUCUUUUAGCAGGAACUAAUGGAAAGUGACGGCACCUGCAGAAAAAGCACCGGCUAACUACGUGCCACCAGCCGCGGUAAUACGUAGGGUGCAAGCGUUAUCCGGAAUUAUUGGGCGUAAAGAGCUCGUAGGCGGUUUGUCACGUCUGCUGUGUAAUCCCGAGGCUCGACCUCUGGCCUGCAGUGGGUACGGGCAGACUACAGUGCGGUAGGGGAGAUUGGAAUUCCUGGUGUACCGGUGGAAUGCGCAUAUAUCAGGAGGAACACCGAUGGCGAAGGAAUAUCUCUGGGCCGCAACUGACGCUGAGGAGCGAAAGGGUGUGGAGCAAACCGGCUUAGAUACCCUGGUAGUCCACCCCGUAACCUUGUAACUAAUUGUGGGGGCCCUUUCCCCGCAUUCUAUGACGCAGCUAACGUGUUACGUUCGCCUCCUGCCGAGUACGGUCCACAGGACUACAAUCUCUAACGCAAGUCGGCGGGAGCCGGUCUAUGACUUGAUCUAUUUUUCUUUCGUGU
rnacentral:rRNA from 1 species